CGGGAUCCUGGUCACAGGACGGGAAGCCUGUUUCUCUCUUUGCUGUCAUACUCGCUCUUAGUAAAACGAGGACUCGUGGCAGCAUUGUGAACAGUGGAGUUCUACGAUCUGACUUCUAGUUUUACAAAGACUCCCCUGGCCACUGUGCUGAGAGCAGACAUUGGAUUUUGACAGCAGAGCCUACAGGAUUUCCUGACAAUUUAAAUGUGGCUUGUGAAAGAAAGAGAGGAGUCAAGGAUCAAUACAAGUGUUUGGCCCAAGCCACUGAAGGAAGGAGGUGCCAUCAAUGAAGAUGGGGAAGAAUGAGGUGAAGCCUCUGAAGGAAGAUCAACAGGUCAGUUUCGGAAAUGAUGAGCUCCGGGUGCCUGUUACACAUUUGUAUUUUCUUAGUUACUCCUCCCUC